CGUCUCUGUCUCUUUACGUGUAAACUCACCCUCCCUGUCUCUCGUUCACUCAUUCUCUUUCGUCCUCUCUGUAUCAACCUUGCUAAAUCUUCAUUCCCCCCUUUCUACCACUUUCUCCUCCUCCUCCCCAUCCUGCUCCUGCUCCUGCCACCGUGACUCUCAGCUCUCCUCCUCCUUCUCCUCCUCCUGCUGCACCUUCUUCCUCUGUGUUCGCCUUUGGAAGAUUUUACUCCGCAAAGACGUUAAACUGUGCAUUGAAAUUGGACUUCGUUCUAUUGGACCUAGGCGUAUCUUUUUUUUUUCCUGACCAGGAAAAAAAACUGUUCUUCUUAUUUAAAGAUACGAUCGGGGUAAGUAAAUAAAACAACCCUCCCCCCACUCAAAAAAAAAAAAAAAAAAAAAAGAAAAAAUAACCCCCCAAAAACUCAACCAUAAAAAAAUUUUUUCAAAAAAUAAAAAAAAAUAUACAAGAAAAUUUGCAAACAGAGCAUUAUGGUUCUUGUUAUACAUACAUACAUUUAUAUACACC
rnacentral:lncRNA from 1 species